rnacentral:rRNA from 1 species
AGGGAAACCGAGUCUUAACCGGGCGUUAAGUUGCAGGGUAUAGACCCGAAACCCGGUGAUCUAGCCAUGGGCAGGUUGAAGGUUGGGUAACACUAACUGGAGGACCGAACCGACUAAUGUUGAAAAAUUAGCGGAUGACCUGUGGCUGGGGGUGAAAGGCCAAUCAAACCGGGAGAUAGCUGGUUCUCCCCGAAAGCUAUUUAGGUAGCGCCUCGUGAAUUCAUCUCCGGGGGUAGAGCACUGUUUCGGCUAGGGGGCCAUCCCGGCUUACCAACCCGAUGCAAACUGCGAAUACCGGAGAAUGUUAUCACGGGAGACACACGGCGGGUGCUAACGUCCGUCGUGAAGAGGGAAACAACCCAGACCGCCAGCUAAGGUCCCAAAGUCAUGGUUAAGUGGGAAACGAUGUGGGAAGGCCCAGACAGCCAGGAUGUUGGCUUAGAAGCAGCCAUCAUUUAAAGAAAGCGUAAUAGCUCACUGGUCGAGUCGGCCUGCGCGGAAGAUGUAACGGGGCUAAACCAUGCACCGAAGCUGCGGCAGCGAACGUAUCACUUAAAGCGAUUCAGCGGGUUACGAUUGACGGAGCGAAGCGACGUCAAAGCGUAUACAAAGUCGAGUCGGUUUAAGGAUACGUUCGUUGGGUAGGGGAGCGUUCUGUAAGCCUGUGAAGGUGGCCUGUGAGGGUUGCUGGAGGUAUCAGAAGUGCGAAUGCUGACAUAAGUAACGAUAAAGCGGGUGAAAAGCCCGCUCGCCGGAAGACCAAGGGUUCCUGUCCAACGUUAAUCGGGGCAGGGUGAGUCGACCCCUAAGGCGAGGCCGAAAGGCGUAGUCGAUGGGAAACGGGUUAAUAUUCCCGUACUUGGUGUUACUGCGAAGGGGGGACGGAGAAGGCUAUGUUGGCCGGGCGACGGUUGUCCCGGUUUAAGCGUGUAGGUGUGUGUUCCAGGUAAAUCCGGUUCACUUUAACACUGAGGCGUGAUGACGAGGCACUACGGUGCUGAAGCAACAAAUGCCCUGCUUCCAGGAAAAGCCUCUAAGCAUCAGGUAACAUCAAAUCGUACCCCAAACCGACACAGGUGGUCAGGUAGAGAAUACCAAGGCGCUUGAGAGAACUCGGGUGAAGGAACUAGGCAAAAUGGUGCCGUAACUUCGGGAGAAGGCACGCUGACACGUAGGUGAAGUGAUUUACUCAUGGAGCUGAAGUCAGUCGAAGAUACCAGCUGGCUGCAACUGUUUAUUAAAAACACAGCACUGUGCAAACACGAAAGUGGACGUAUACGGUGUGACGCCUGCCCGGUGCCGGAAGGUUAAUUGAUGGGG